rnacentral:rRNA from 1 species
GAUUAACGCUGGCGGCGUGCAUAACACAUGCAAGUCGAACGAUGAAACUUAACUGAUUUCUUCGGAAUGAUUUUAAGUGGAUUAGUGGCGGACGGGUGAGUAACGCGUGAGUAACCUGCCUUGGAGAAGGGGAUAGCCUUUGGAAACGAAGAAUAAUACCCUAUGAUAUGAUAGUAUCUCAUGAUAUUAUCAUCAAAGAUUUAUCGCUCUAAGAUGGACUUGCGUCUGAUUAGUUAGUUGGUGAGGUAACAGCUCACCAAGGCAGCGAUCAGUAGCCGGCUUGAGAGAGUGUACGGCCACAUUGGGACUGAGACACGGCCCAGACUCCUACGGGAGGCAGCAGUGGGGAAUUUUGCACAAUGGGGGAAACCCUGAUGCAGCGACGCCGCGUGAUUUAGAAGGCCUUCGGGUUGUAAAAAUCUUUUGUAUGGGAAGAAAAUGACAGUACCAUACGAAUAAGGACCGGCUAAUUACGUG